rnacentral:lncRNA from 1 species
UGCAUAUCAUUUCUGCAUUGAUUCAUAUGUUAGGUUGCCACAAAUGCUUAGGCUUAAGACCUUGACAUUAAUUCCUUCUCCACAGCCAUUUAUAUCAGGAAAACUCAAUUGUUUGAGCACUCAUGGAAAGUAAAUGCAAGAAGUGCCCUGAUACCAUUAAAUCAAAUUUAUUGAAAAAUAUAAGAAGGACAGAGGUGCAAAGUGAAGAUAUAUGGCUGCAGAUCUGGAGUUUGGUUAGACAUGGAGAUGAGUCUUAUAGCCUGCUUGAGCUCAGGAAUUGCUUGCUUUGA